rnacentral:rRNA from 1 species
GAGUUUGAUCCUGGCUCAGGAUGAACGCUGGCGGCGUGCCUAAUACAUGCAAGUCGAGCGAAUGGAUUAAGAGCUUGCUCUUAUGAAGUUAGCGGCGGACGGGUGAGUAACACGUGGGUAACCUGCCCAUAAGACUGGGAUAACUCCGGGAAACCGGGGCUAAUACCGGAUAACAUUUUGAACYGCAUGGUUCGAAAUUGAAAGGCGGCUUCGGCUGUCACUUAUGGAUGGACCCGCGUCGCAUUAGCUAGUUGGUGAGGUAACGGCUCACCAAGGCAACGAUGCGUAGCCGACCUGAGAGGGUGAUCGGCCACACUGGGACUGAGACACGGCCCAGACUCCUACGGGAGGCAGCAGUAGGGAAUCUUCCGCAAUGGACGAAAGUCUGACGGAGCAACGCCGCGUGAGUGAUGAAGGCUUUCGGGUCGUAAAACUCUGUUGUUAGGGAAGAACAAGUGCUAGUUGAAUAAGCUGGCACCUUGACGGUACCUAACCAGAAAGCC